UACAGAGGGUGCGAGCGUUAAUCGGAAUUACUGGGCGUAAAGCGUGCGUAGACGGUUAUGUAAGUCGGAUGUGAAAGCCCCGGGCUCAACCUGGGAAUUGCAUUCGAGACUGCAUAGCUAGGAUGCGGAAGAGGGAAGUGGAAUUUCCGGUGUAGCGGUGAAAUGCGUAGAUAUCGGGAAGAACACCCGUGGCGAAGGCGGCUUUCUGGGACGGUACUGACGCUGAGACGCGAAAGCGUGGGGAGCGAACAGG
rnacentral:rRNA from 1 species